UCACAACCAUCUGUAACGAGAUCUGACUCCCUCUUCUGGAGUGUCUGAGGACAGCUACAGUGUACUUACAUAUAAUAAAUAAAUAAAUAAAUAAAUCUUAAAAAAAAAAAAAUAUAAAAAAAAAAAAAAAAAAAAAAGAAAAAUUUCCAAGAUUAAAGGAAAACUGGACAAAGAAUUUGACAGGAAGAGCACAGAAGGAGUUUAAAAAGCUCCUACACAUGGGGGAGACAUCCCUUACGGUGGCAUGAGUGUCACAUAACCAGGUGUGUGACAACAUGCUGUUUGGAGAGAAAGACCUGGCAAUGGCCAUGAUAUGCUUGGAUGUUUGUAACCUUUUACCCUGAGAUUCAUUCCUAAGGAACUUAUUCUGCACAGACAGCUUGCACACAUGUAAAAAGCUUCUGGGUCGACGUAUAGAGUUUUGCUUCUAGUAGCAGAAAGCACAGCAGUAGUAAACACAAUACAGAUGAGUUGAAGGGAGUAAUUUACAGAAAAUCACAACACACCAUCAUAUCACGAAGCCAUAAAAAGUGAGAUCGCCCUUGUAUUUAUGUGGGGCCAUCUCUAAGAUGUUCUGUAUUGUGACCAAAGUCUACCUAUCCUGUGCCUCUAGGGCCGACACACAUGCUUGCAGAUGCUUUCAGGAUUUUUUUUUUUUAAAUAAACCUUAAAAUCUCUGGAGCAGGGGCAUCGGUGCCCAGGGAGAAAGACAGCUUCUGCUCUUUUGGACUCUAGGUUCUCUACCAUGUGGCACUUGAUGAAGUUUUGCUUUGCAUAUGUUUUUACUUAUAAAUGUAAUGGAUUUAUAAAUGACUUUCUCAGUUUUUAUCAACCUGUAUCCUGGUAAACAUUUCAUAAUCAUAGUGGGUAUUAAUAGUGGGUAGUGAAUGGGGAAUUUGAAAACUAUACAAUGUAGGAUGUAGAAGUGCUGACACACUGUUCAAGCUUUUUUU
rnacentral:lncRNA from 1 species